rnacentral:rRNA from 1 species
UACGUAGGGGGCAAGCGUUGUCCGGAUUUACUGGGCGUAAAGCGCACGUAGGCGGCUAUUCAAGUCGGGGGUGAAAGCCCGGGGCUCAACCCCGGAACUGCCCUCGAAACUAGGUAGCUAGAAUCUUGGAGAGGUCAGUGGAAUUCCGAGUGUAGAGGUGAAAUUCGUAGAUAUUCGGAAGAACACCAGUGGCGAAGGCGACUGACUGGACAAGUAUUGACGCUGAGGUGCGAAAGCGUGGGGAGCAAACAGG